rnacentral:rRNA from 1 species
UACGUAGGGGGCGUAGCGUUGUCCGGAAUCAUUGGGCGUAAAGCGCGUGUAGGCGGUUCGGUAAGUCCGCUGUGAAAGUCGGGGGCUCAACCCUCGAAAGCCGGUGGAUACUGUCGGGCUAGAGUCCGGAAGAGGCGAGUGGAAUUCCCGGUGUAGCGGUGAAAUGCGCAGAUAUCGGGAGGAACACCAAUGGCGAAGGCAGCUCGCUGGGACGGUACUGACGCUG